rnacentral:rRNA from 1 species
UACCAGCACCCCGAGUGGUCGGGACGUUUAUUGGGCCUAAAGCAUCCGUAGCCGGUUCUACAAGUCUUCCGUUAAAUCCAGCUGCUUAACAGAUGGGCUGCGGAAGAUACUAUGGAGCUAGGAGGCGGGAGAGGCAAGCGGUACUCGAUGGGUAGGGGUAAAAUCCGUUGAUCCAUUGAAGACCACCAGUGGCGAAGGCGGCUUGCCAGAACGCGCUCCGACGGUGAGGGAUGAAAGCUGGGGGAAGCAAACCGGG